CCUACGGGGGGCAGCAGUGGGGAAUAUUGGACAAUGGAGGAAACUCUGAUCCAGCGACGCCGCGUGAGUGAAGAAGUAUUUCGGUAUGUAAAGCUCUUUCCUCAGGGAAGAAAGAAAUGACGGUACCUUACCAAUAAGCCUCGGCUAACUACGUGCCAGCAGCCGCGGUAAUACGUAGGGGGCAAGCGUUAUCCGGAUUUACUGGGUGUAAAGGGAGCGUAGGUGGUUGGGCAAGUCUGUUGCGAAAGGCCGGGGCCCAACCUCGGCACUGCAAUGGAAACUGUUGAACUUGAGUACAGGAGAGGUAAGUGGAAUUCCUAGUGUAGCGGUGGAAUGCGUAGAUAUUAGGAGGAACACCAGUGGCGAAGGCGACUUACUGGACUGUAACUGACGUUGAGGCACGAAAGCGUGGGGAGCAAACAGGAUUAGAUACCCGUGUAGUC
rnacentral:rRNA from 1 species